GUGGGCAUGGUUUAGUGGUUAGAACGUUUGCCUUGUACUUACCGGGUUGGGGGGUUCGAUUCCCGUCUACG